UCUUAUUUGGCAGAUUAGUGUAUUAAAUUUAAGCUUUAAAAAUGUUUUGAACAAUAAGUU
rnacentral:tRNA from 1 species